GGCUGGUGUGAGUGCAGUCGUGUUUACAACUAAUUGAUCACAACCAGUUACAGAUUCCUUUGUUCCUUUUCCACUCCCACUGCUUCACUAGCCUAGCCUAAA
rnacentral:Y_RNA from 1 species